CGUCCAACGGCGGGCGCAAAAAUUCUAGAAUCAGAAAUGCAUAUGUAGGGAGAGACAGAAUAAAAAACCUGAAAUUCUCUUUUGUUGUUGAAGAUUUGCGUCCCUCAUUUUCUUCAGUCAAAUGUAUUUUUGCUGAGUUUGGACCUUGCAAAAGCAAAGACUUCUCAGUUUUCAGACACAAAGAAUAAUUGUAUUAUACCUCCAUUUUGUCUGUCUAACGAAAUGACACUCUUAAUUGUGAGAAGAGUACAAGAAUAUAUGCUAAAAUGGUGAAAAGAAGGCACUGCGAAUUAACAGCAACACUCUUUUCUCAUGAAGAUGAUCUACACGCGCGCGCGCUCGCUCACAGAGAGAGAGGAAGAGAGAGACUGUGUGUGAAUGUGUAAAUAUGGAGAUGGAAAACCCCCCGACCCAAGAGCAGAGGCUAUGGAGACGCUGAGGAAGCAUAUAUACAGAGACUGUGUGUGUAUUAGCUGAAUGAAUAAUCAUGAAG
rnacentral:lncRNA from 1 species